rnacentral:rRNA from 1 species
UACGUAGGGUGCAAGCGUUGUCCGGAUUUACUGGGCGUAAAGAGCGCGCAGGCGGUCGUUCAAGUCGCGUGUGAAAGCCCCCGGCUCAACUGGGGAGGGUCAUUCGAUACUGCUCGACUUGAAGGCAGGAGAGGGUAGUGGAAUUCCCGGUGUAGUGGUGAAAUGCGUAGAUAUCGGGAGGAACACCAGUGGCGAAGGCGACUACCUGGCCUGUUCUUGACGCUGAGGCGCGAAAGCUAGGGGAGCAAACGGG